UUCUAUACACAUAUGAAUCUUCCCCAUAUUCGAAUAUCUGAUUGUCAGACUCAAGCUGAUGAUAUAUGAGGUAUGGUCCUCGCUGUAUCAAUCAAGUCCCAUUGAAAUAUUGAAACGUUGUUCAUACAUCUUUGAAUGACCUUUUAUGUGCUGACAAUAUGUUCUGAAAUGAAGAGAUUUUACCCCUGAUGAAGUCUUGGAACAAGACGAAACGCGUUGGUUUAUUUA